GAUGAACGCUGGCGGCGUGCCUAAUACAUGCAAGUCGAGCGAAUGGAUUAAGAGCUUGCUCUUAUGAAGUUAGCGGCGGACGGGUGAGUAACACGUGGGUAACCUGCCCAUAAGACUGGGAUAACUCCGGGAAACCGGGGCUAAUACCGGAUAACAUUUUGAACCGCAUGGUUCGAAAUUGAAAGGCGGCUUCGGCUGUCACUUAUGGAUGGACCCGCGUCGCAUUAGCCAGUUGGUGAGGUAACGGCUCACCAAGGCAACGAUGCGUAGCCGAACUGAGAGGGUGAUCGGCCACACUGGGACUGAGACACGGCCCUGACUCCUACGGGAGGCAGCAGUAGGGAAUCUUCCGCGAUGGACGAAAGUCUGACGGAGCAACGCCGCGUGAGUGAUGAAGGCUUUCGGGUCGUAAAACUCUGUUGUUAGGGAAGAACAAGUGCUAGUUGAAUAAGCUGGCACCUUGACGGUACCUAACCAGAAAGCCACGGCUAACUACGUGCCAGCCGCCGCAGUAA
rnacentral:rRNA from 1 species